rnacentral:rRNA from 1 species
ACUCAAAUGAAUUGACGGGGAGGCGCACAAGCAGUGGAGCAUGUGGUUUAAUUCGAUACAAAGCGAAAGACCUCACCAGGAUUUGACAUGUAUCUGCAAGCGCACGGAAACGUGUGACCUUCGAGGGUGAUACACAGAUGCUGCAUGGCUGUCGUCAGCUCGUGGCGUGAGCUGUUCCCUUAAGUGGGUCAACGAGCGCAACCCCCACCAUAUGUUAAAUAAUUCAUAUGGAACUGCCUCUUUUUGAGGAGGAAGGCGGGGAUGACGUCAAGUCAGCACGGCUCUUACAUCCUGGGCAACACACAUCCUACAAUGGCGAACAACAACGAGUCGCAAGCCGGUAACGGCAAGCUAAUCUCUAAAAUUUCGCCUCAGUUCAGAUAGAGGUCUGCAACCCGACCUCUUGAAGGAGGAAUUGCUAGUAAUCGCGAAUCAGCAGGUCGCGGUGAAUACGUUCUCGCCUCUUGUACACACCGCCCGU